rnacentral:rRNA from 1 species
AGAAUCAACGCUGGCGGCGUGCCUAACACAUGCAAGUCGCACGAGAAAGGGUAGCAAUACCUGAGUACAGUGGCGCACGGGUGAGUAACACGUGACUAACCUACCCUCGAGUGGGGAAUAACCUAGGGAAACCUGGGCUAAUACCGCAUAACACUUACGAGUCAAAGCAGCAAUGCGCUUGGGGAGGGGGUCGCGGCCGAUUAGCUAGUUGGCGGGGUAAUGGCCCACCAAGGCAAUGAUCGGUA